CUCACCAUAGCUCAGUUGGUAGAGCGUCGGACUGUAACUGAUACAAUCUCAAAGCCGCCUGAUCAGGCGACCACAUCCGCAGGUCCUGUGUUCGACUCACAGUGGUGAGA
rfam:Trichosporon asahii var. asahii CBS 8904 unplaced genomic scaffold scaffold00049, whole genome shotgun sequence.